GGGGGCGGCCCGAUGGUGCAUGUGAUAAACGGCGCCAGUCCACACGGCCGGACCGGGUUCAAAUCCCAUCCGGACCGUCCCCCCGUAGCAAGGACUGACUAUCCGGCUACGUGGUAAAAAUAAGUCUAGUAAGCCAGAAAUGGCCGGCGUGACCUGUAAGGUCGUUAAGCCAAGAAGAAGAAGAAGAAACUGUAAA